rnacentral:rRNA from 1 species
AUUGAACGCUGGCGGCAGGCCUAACACAUGCAAGUCGAGCGGCAGCGGAAAGUAGCUUGCUACUUUGCCGGCGAGCGGCGGACGGGUGAGUAAUGUCUGGGAAACUGCCUGAUGGAGGGGGAUAACUACUGGAAACGGUAGCUAAUACCGUAUAACGUCGCAAGACCAAAGAGGGGGACCUUCGGGCCUCUUGCCAUCAGAUGUGCCCAGAUGGGAUUAGCUAGUAGGUGGGGUAACGGCUCACCUAGGCGACGAUCCCUAGCUGGUCUGAGAGGAUGACCAGCCACACUGGAACUGAGACACGGUCCAGACUCCUACGGGAGGCAGCAGUGGGGAAUAUUGCACAAUGGGCGCAAGCCUGAUGCAGCCAUGCCGCGUGUAUGAAGAAGGCCUUCGGGUUGUAAAGUACUUUCAGCGGGGAGGAAGGCGUUGAGGUUAAUAACCUCAGUGAUUGACGUUACCCGCAGAAGAAGCACCGGCUAACUCCGUGCCAGCCGCCGCCGUAA